AAAGCUUGCUUUUCAAAACUUAGCGGCGGACGGGUGAGUAACACGUGGGCAACCUGCCCUUGAGACGGGGAUAACUCCGGGAAACCGGAGCUAAUACCGGAUAACACAUAUCUUCGCAUGAGGAUAUGUUAGAAGGUGGCUUUUAGCUACCACUCAAGGAUGGGCCCGCGGCGCAUUAGCUAGUUGGUGAGGUAACGGCUCACCAAGGCGACGAUGCGUAGCCGACCUGAGAGGGUGAUCGGCCACACUGGGACUGAGACACGGCCCAGACUCCUACGGGAGGCAGCAGUAGGGAAUCUUCCGCAAUGGACGAAAGUCUGACGGAGCAACGCCGCGUGAGUGAUGAAGGUUUUCGGAUCGUAAAGCUCUGUUGUUAGGGAAGAACAAGUACCUGUUAAAUAAGCAGGUACCUUGACGGUACCUAACCAGAAAGCCACGGCUAACUACGUGCCAGCAGCCGCGGUAAUACGUAGGUGGCAAGCGUUGUCCGGAAUUAUUGGGCGUAAAGCGCGCGCAGGCGGUUCCUUAAGUCUGAUGUGAAAGCCCACGGCUCAACCGUGGAGGGUCAUUGGAAACUGGGGAACUUGAGUGCAGAAGAGGAGAGCGGAAUUCCACGUGUAGCGGUGAAAUGCGUAGAGAUGUGGAGGAACACCAGUGGCGAAGGCGGCUCUCU
rnacentral:rRNA from 1 species